AGAUACUUCCAAAACUAGUUUGCAGGUGCUUAUAUUACCGAGCAGGAGACGCAACCAAGCUCAAGGAGGAGCUCGAUGAAGAUCUUGCCCUUUGUGUUGUUUCGUUGUAGUUGAUCAGUAGUGGAGCCCAGUUGGGGUCGAUCGGGGACCUUUGUCGCAUUUGGGGUUCUUCUUUUAUUUUGGUUCCGUAGACGGACCUUGAUUGUAUCUGGAUGAUGUAAUGUUGUAUUCAUGUAAUUGUGUGAAGUGGCGAUUGUAAGCCAACUAUGUAUCUCUUGCCCAUAUGUAUUACAUGGGUUGUGUGAAGAUUACCUCACUUGCGACAUUGCUUUCAAUGCGGUUAUGCCUCUAAGUCGUGCUUCGACACGUGGGAGAUAUAGCCGCAUCGAGGGCGUUACAAGUUGGUAAUCAGAGCCUUCCCCGACCUUAGGAGCCCCAUUGCUUGAUCGUUUUUAGCGGCCGAGUUUGAGUCUAGAAAAAAAUGUUUUGAGUCCUUAGGAAUUAUAUAUCGGAGAGUUUAGGAAUUCUUUUUACUCCUUAGUCCCUUCAUCGCUCUGGUAAGGCAUCCUGACGUAGAGUUUUGACUCUUCUCUUCUCAAAUUUUCACAUAAAAUUUUUUUUAGGAUCACGCGGGUAUCUUGGAAUCGUUCCGAUGGUUUUAUGAUGAGAACAUUGUCUUGGUGCCUCCUGUCAGGGGUUUAGUGGAAGUGUCCCGGGGAGUUGAGCUCUGAGGUGUUGUCAUCAUAAUUUUAUCGUUGCAAUUCUGAUAUACCUGAGUUUAGUACGCCGACAUCGAAAAUCUCUUUUAUGCAGUUCGUUGGUGAGAUAACCUCGACGCCACCCAGUACUGGGGCGGGAGUUCGGGAGUAUUGCCAUAACUUGUAUAACGGAUGCUUUUCGAAGGUUGAGGUAGAUGAUUUCCGAAGGUUUCUUGGUUAUGUGUUGAAGGAUGGAUACAGCUGGAUGUAGGAUUUGUUAGUUUUGGGUGAGAUAUUAUGCUUCCCCUGUAUCCCCAACACCUGAUUGCAUAACCGGAAAAUUUCGGGAGUUUCAUAGGUGGGAAUUCAAGUAGCUCUUAGGAUAUCUUUUCGACAGAUGUAUGAUAUGAAAUUGGGGUUCGACGUCUAGUGGUCCGCCUUUCCACGGUCGUUUUUACAGUGGUCUCGUUGUGUCUUAAAGAGUCCUUGGCUAUGCCGACUCGGGGACGCUUCGUAUGUCAUGUGCACUGCCUUGUACAUGAUGGUGCUGUACGAUCGAGCCCGUGUGGGCCCCACCACGAAAACUUCGGACGGAAUCUCUAUCAUAUGUUUGUUCCGGCUUAUUCUGCAAGCCAGUCCUUUGUUUUUGUUUUGAGUUGUGGUAUUCGAGUUGCUUCAAUGUCAAGUGUUGAUUCCAUACCUUUCUUAAAUGGUGUUCUCAUAUUUCUAUGGGAGUGCUAAUCCUUUCGAUCAUCGAGAUUGUCAUGUCAAUUCUUUCCAACCGGUGUGCUUCUUUUCAAGUGGAUCCGAUCAUUUCAACAUUCGCAAGAUCACCUCUCAGUUUUCUCAACGGUGUUUGUUUCAUCCGUCCCAAGUUGUUUUUGUUUUCCCGCCCUCCCACCCCUUUUUUCUUCAAGGACUCAGAUUUCUUAAUCGAGUAUCCAUUUUAUUGAUGGGAAGUUUCUCCAUUCUUUUCCGUCAAUGUUCUUAUCCGGUGAUUCUCAUGAAGAUUCUAAUGGAGCUUCAAGUUCGUCAUUCUUCAUUCCUUUCUCUUCUCCGGUGGAUUCAAGUCAAGUUUUGUUGAUCAUACCUUUUUCCUCAUUUCAAUACCUUCUCUUGACGGUGCUCCUCAUAUUUAUUCAUUUCUCGCUAUUCUAUUGUUCUGGAAUGCUCAAGAUAUCUCAAAGAUUCGUGUUUCCACUCUGUUUUCGUUCAAACUCUUUUGAGGAUGUGAUCUCAUUCUAGCCAUUUAAUUCAACCGGUGCUUUCUCUCUUUUAAAUCAUUUCAACGGUGUUUUCUUUUGAGUGGGCCCUAACCCACAGGUUUUUUUCCCCAGGAUCUUACCUGACUCUUCUAAUUAUUCUGGUGCUAUUCCCAAAUUCUUCUCCAAGUUUGACGUAAGAAUGAGUUAUCAUUAGUCAAAUGCUUUUCUCCAAGAUCUUUCAAAUUCUUUUCAUAGUUGGCUCAACCUCUUCGCUUUUGAUUCUUCCGGUGUGCCUCAAUAAUUCUUGGUGGUGUUUCUCGUUGUCAUUCUCAUCAUUUGAAGACCGAAGAAGAGUUUCUCUUUAAUCUCGCUCCAUUCUCUUCAAGAUUCGUGAUUCUAGCUUGUUGCCAUCCUCUCGUAAUUGUUUUGAUCGUGAGAAUUCUUUUCAUCCAUCCGGAGUAAUUCAAGAGUCUUCUCGGUUUGACUAUCCGGAGUCCAUCAAUUCAGGUUUAUUCAUUCUCAGCUUUCAGCUAUCAUUCUCCAAAUUUUACCGAUGCUUCGUGCAAGUGAUCUUUAAUCGGCUCGUGAUCUCGUCGUUCUCAUGUAUCUAAAUCCUCUCAAGCAUCUUCGUGUAUUUGCAAAUUCUUCCCGGUGUCUUCCUUAUCUUUUCUUUGUUCAUUUUUAAUUCUUACCGUGGUUCUUUCAAGAUCUCUCUUCCUUGUUCAUCAUAUCAAUUCAUUUGUUGUUCCAAUCCUACCGGUGGUUCGUUGAAGACCUUCUCAAGUUUUGAUAUAUCUCUUUAAUCCUUCCUACGAGAAUAAGUAGUAUGCCAAAUCCAUUGAUUGUCAUCAAUUUAAUUGGUGAAGGAUAAGCAUAACAUAAUUCUUAUUCUUGUUCAUCCAAGUGAUUAAUUCUUUAUUCCGGAGGCCCUUAAAAUUCUCGGUUUCAUUUGUUUCAUCUUCCCUUUAUCCCGGAGUUCCAAGCUCUAAUUAUCACGGAGAUCCAUCUGAAUCAUUGCAAGGAUUCACCUUGUGUUUUCAAUUUCUCUUUCUUUUCAUUCCUUUUGUUUACCGGAGUUCUUCAUGGAGGUUCUACAUGAUGGUUCAUCAAGGAUUUAAUUCGCUUCUCAAAGUUUUCAUCGAGAUUCUUUCCUAAGGAGCAAAAGCUUUCUUUAUAUGGUAAUCCGGAGUGCAAUUCUUUCUACCAUAUUUUGGAGGUGGUAUUAUGUCAUUCUUGAUAAUUUGAGUUCAUGUUCCAUGAUUCACAUGUUGUUAAGAAUGAGUUAUUUUUAAAUCCAUCAACCUCGUUGUUGGAGUUAUCUUGGUAUAGAUUUCACCUAAAGCCUUCCCUAAGGAAUGUUGCUAUUUGUGGUGCUUAUCAAUGAUCCAAGUAAUAUCUCUAUCAUCUUGGUGAAGCAGUUUUCAUCUCUUCAUUGAUCUCAAGCAAGUAAUUGUUUCCGUUAGUGGCCGGUUGUCACCUCAUAAUGUUGAGAUGUUUCCAUAAGCCCACUACAAGCUUAUUCGUUUCGUUUUUGGUUUUCCAACAACUCCGUUAUAACCUUCUUGGAAGGGUGCUUGGCAUUUUCUUCUCCAUUCUUCUAUUUCAAUUAUCUAUCUUCUAUUCUUUUGUUUCGAAGGCAUUGUGAUGUUGUGCUCUUCAAUCAUCAUCUUGUUUUGUCAGUAUCGUGUUCUUUUCAUGCUUAUCCAUUUAACCGGAGUGUCCUGCCUUUUUCUUUCAAGUUCUUUUUCAUCUUAUCAAGUCUUGCAUCUCUUUUCAACCGGAGUGCUGUCCGAUUUUGAUCUUCCUUGUUCCUUGUUUAUCUCGUUUCAACCAGAGUGAUUUCAAUUCCUUCUUGUCCAUCGUACUCGUCAUUCAUAGCUUUGCAACCUUCAAGUCCUCGUAAUGUUCCUUGUUCCUCUUUUCUAACGGAUUGUUUGCAAUCUCGUUCAUCUCUGUUGUACUCUUUCUUUUAAAUUGCUCAACCUCUCAAGGUUCGUGGUUUCACUCGUUUGUCAAAGAAGCAACUUAGUUUUACCUCUUCUCUUCCUCUUCCGUUUUCCCUCCGGUGCCAUCCUAGAUCUCGGGACGAGAUCCUCUCGUAGUGGUGGAGUGUUGUAACGCCCCGAGACCGAUGCUCGAGAAGACUUCCGGCUAUUCCGAGUUUCGCCGUGUGUUUUAUUUGCUUUUGUGCAUUUCAUCAUGUCAUCAUGUGCAUGGUGUGAUUUCUCAUACAUAUUAUGUUGUUGCAUGUUCCAUGCAUGAAUCUCACAUCACCCACCUUUUCCUUCCCUCUACUUCCUUCUUUUGAUAAGUGCCAUUUUCCCCUUCUCCUUUAAUGUUCACCUUCUCCCAAAUAGUCAAACUUAUUGCCCUAAACCCCACCGCCAAAUUUCACCUCUUUUGGGAAUGUUUUGGUUAGGUUUUAAAAUGGCUCAAGUUUGAAUUUAAUUCAAACUUGAAUUAUUUUUCUUCCUCUAAAAAUUGCCAAACCAAUUUAUUCAAAUUCUGCAUAUUCUCAAGACUCCAGGGAUAUUUUCUUUUCUGAAAUAUUCCACCUCUAGCACCUCUUUCUUUUCUCCUAAAUUCUGGUUGAAGAAUUAAGGAAAAGAAAAGAGAGAUGGAGAAGCCAGCCCAACUGGGCCUCCCAGCUACCGCAGCUCGGCCCAGCCACCCGCGCAGCCAGACCGGCCCAAGGCCUAGGCCCAGCAGCGCCCCCCUCUAACCCUAGUUUCCCGAUCCCCUCAUCUCUCCCUCCCUUCGUCCUCUUCCAGCGCCGCCAGUCACCCAUCGUCCGAUCCCAUCGCCUCUCCUGCUCGAUCCCAUCUCUCUCCCGCGACCCCGAGCUCCCUGCAGUCCGAGCGCCACGAGGAGGAGCCCCUUGAGCACCGGCCGCCGCCGCCAGUCUUCGCCGUGCCCCUGCUGCCUUCCUUCCCCGCGCCUCCUCCUCGCCAACUCCCUGUCGCCGAGCGUCGAGGAGAGGAGCCCCUCGAGCACCGGCCGCGCACCGCGCGCCCAACCUGCUCUUCGCCCGCCUCCUCGUCUGUCCGUCGCCGCCGCGGCGCGGGCCCCGCCUGACGGAUCCCCGAGCAGUCUUCCGGCGCCGCGCCUCCCCGUCACCCGCGUCUCCUCGCGCUGGCCCCGGCCAGCCGGCCACCAGAGCCUCGCCGACGCCCCGUCCUCGCCUCUCCACACGCUCGCCAGGUCCCCGUGCCGAGCCGGCCCUGCAGCCCCGUCCCCGGCCUCCGAUGACUCGCCGCGCCCGCCAAGUUCCUGCGUGAGCCUCCUCUGCUCGCUCGCGUGGGCCGCAGCGGCUGCAAGGCCGGUCGUAGCCAGCCAGCCUCGCCUCUGCUCCGAGACCAGGAUCGUCAAGGUCAUCUUCGAGAAUUUUCGCCAAGUACCACGACAUUCGGAACCCCUUGGAAACGUCAAGUUCGACUACAAAACGUCAAACGUGUACCACUACCGCCGCCCGAACUUCUACGAACGGUGUACCACGACGAACAUGUACGGCUACAUGAUGACCCGCCAAGACCUCGAACCACUACCAUCGCAAGAACAACUACUUCCACUACCGUCGCCACGUGAACAACUACUUCCUCUACCGACGCCGUGUACAACUACUUCCGACGACGUUCCGUGAACGUCUACUUCCCUCUACGAACUCGAUCCACCCGAAACGCACGCUUCGAAGGUAUAACACCGAGACGAUGUUCGUGGACCGAAUGCAUGUUGUAUGAGAUGCCCGUUUUUGCAUCGUGUCCGUUUGUCACUCGUUUCCAUGCCACUAUCCCGUGGGAACCCGGUAGACGGGAUCACCCCACCAUCUUCUGCAUGUUUCGCACAUCCGCACACUUGCUCUUUUGCACCGGUAUCUCAAUGAGUUAUCGGAUCAUCGGAAUGUUGCCGUGGCACCAUUUUUGUUAUCGUUGUCGUGGCACCAUUUUCGUUAUCGUUGCCGUGGCACCCCUUUCGUUCCGCCAUGGUGACCAAAUGCUCCUUAACAUGCUUAUGUCAACAUUUUCAUAAAAAAAUGCAUAAAACUUGCAUAUGUCAUCCGCAUCAUGAUAAUAACAAUUAAAAUGCUUAAAAUUGGUGUUACUUUAAAUUGCUAAAUGCAUAUGGGGAUUUACCGGAUUUGUUGUUUUUAUAUCCGGCCCCAUUUAAAUUGUUUAGAUGGUAUUGUUAGUUUAAUUAUGCCUCACCUCUUGCCAUGUUUAACAACAGUUAAUAUUGUUGGAUAGCAUAACCGAGAGAGAACUAAAUAAUUGAUGUGGUGUUUCGUCAAUAUGCAACUCCGUUGCAUAUUGAGCUCCACUUAAUUUGUAAGAUAGUUUGUUGCAUUUUGCCAUGCCAUGCCUCUUUAAACCGGACAUGCAUCAUACUUGGUUGUGCAUCAUGCCAUGUUUGUGCUUGUUGGUUUACUAUGUUGUUUGUUCCUUUCCGGGUUGCUUCUCACGUUAGCUUCGGUUUCGUUCCGGAGUUGUGAGGAUUCGUUCGUCUACGGCCGUUUGUCUUCUUCUUGGAUUCGUUCUUCUUCCUUGCGGGAUUUCAGGCAAGAUGAUCAUACCCUCGAAAUCACUACUAUCUUUGCUAUGCUAGUUUGCUCGCUCUUUUGCCAUGCCAAUGCUACGAUGCCUACCACUUGCUUGUCAGCCACCCAAAUUGCCAUGUUCAACCUCUAACCCACCAUGUCCUAGCAAACCGUUGAUUGGCUAUGUUACCGCUUUGCUCAGCCCCUCUUAUAGCGUUGUUAGUUGCAUGUGAAGAUCGAAGUUUGUUCCUUGUUGGAACAUGGAGAUGUUGUUCCUUGUUGGAACAUGUUUACUUGUUGGGAUAUCACAAUAUAUAUUAUUUAAUUAAUGCAUCUAUAUACUUGGUAAAGGGUGGAAGGCUCGGCCUUAUGCCUGGUGUUUUGUUCCACUCUUGCCGUCCUAGUUUCCGUCAUAUCGGUGUUAUGUUCCCGGAUUUUGCGUCCCUUACGCGGUUGGGCUAUAAUGGGAACCCCUUGACAGUUCGCCUUAAGUAAAGCUCUUCCAGCAAUGCCCAACAUUGGUUUUACCAUUCGCCACCUAGCCUCUUUUUCCCUUGGGUUUCGCGGACUCAAGGGUCAUCAUUAUUUUACCCCCCGGGCCAGUGCUCCUCUGAGUGUUGGUCCAACCUGUCAGCUGCCGGUGGCCACCAGGGGCAACUCUGGGUUGGCCUACCCGUACCUAAGACAAUCUGAGUGUGCCCUGAGAAAGAGAUAUGUGCAGCUCCUAUCGGGAUUUGUCGGCACAUUCGGGCGGUGUUGCUGGUUUAGUUUUACCCUGUCGAAAUGUCUUGUUGUACCGGGAUACCGAGUCUGAUCGGAAUGUCUCGGGUGGAGGUCUAUUCCUUCGUUGACCGUGAGAGCUUGUGAUGGGCUAAGUUGGGACACCCCUGCAGGGAUUUGAACUUUCGAAAGUCGUGCCCGCGGUUAUGGGUAGAUGGGAGUUUGUUAACGUCCGGUUGUAGAAAACCCGAAGUUGACCUUAAUUAAAGUACAUCAACCGUGUGUGUAACCGUGAUGGUCUCUUUCCGGCGGAGUCCGGGAAGUGAACACGGUGUUGGAGUUAUGCUUGACGUAGGUUGCUAUAGGAUCACUUCUUGAUCAUACUUUUAUCGACCGUGCUUUGCCCUCUCUUCUCGCUCUCUUUUGCGAUUGUAGCCACCAUAUAUGCUAGUCGCUUGCUGCAGCUCCACCUCAUUACUCCAUCCUUCCUAUGAGCUUGAAUAGUCUUGAUCUCGCGGGUGCGAGAUUGCUGAGUCCCCGUGGCUCACAGAUACUUCCAAAACCAGUUUGCAGGUGCUUAUAUUACCGAGCAGGAGACGCAACCAAGCUCACGGAGGAGCUCGAUGAAGAUCUUGCCCUUUGUGUUGUUUCGUUGUAGUUGAUCAGUAGUGGAGCCCAGUUGGGGUCGAUCGGGGACCUUUGUCGCAUUUGGGGUUCUUCUUUUAUUUUGGUUCCGUAGACGGACCUUGAUUGUAUCUGGAUGAUGUAAUGCUGUAUUCAUGUAAUUGUGUGAAGUGGCGAUUGUAAGCCAACUAUGUAUCUCUUGCCCAUAUGUAUUACAUGGGUUGUGUGAAGAUUACCUCACUUGCGACAUUGCUUUCAAUGCGGUUAUGCCUCUAAGUCGUGCUUCGACACGUGGGAGAUAUAGCCGCAUCGAGGGCGUUACACACUCCC
rnacentral:lncRNA from 1 species